GACGGCGUGUUGGGAGAUUGUAAGAAAAAAAUGUCGGCCCACAAAACUUUCAUCAUUAAAAGGAAGCUUGCAAAAAAGCUGAAACAAAAUAGACCUAUUCCACAGUGGGUGAGGAUGCGAACAGAUAAUACCAUACGGUA